AAGAUGGCCGCAUAGGAACAGCUCCAGUCCACAGCUCCCAGCGUGAGCGACGCAGAAGACGGGUGAUUUCUGCAUUUCCAUCUGAGCAGGCUUUUCUUCUUGGAGCUGAAACAGGCGCACUGGCGAGGGUUGUGAGGAAAGGUUUGCAGCCCCCUGCCUUGGUCUGCUAUAGCCAGUGACACGAUCAAUACCAGGGUGAGCAGCAGAGGAAGCUCAGGGAAGAUUAUGAAGAUGAGGGAGAAACUCAAGCCCCUGAGAACAUGUUACUCCUUUGGACCAGCAAGAGGCCAGUGCUCCGAAAUACGCACUCAGAACACCAGGCAUGUUCUUCUUCCACGGAAUGCUACGUUGAUGCAUUAAACUUGGAGUACUUUACACAUUUCACAAGUUUUGACUUCUUGUGAAAAGACCAAAAAAAAAGGUUUCCAU
rnacentral:lncRNA from 10 species